GGGUCACUCAGAGAGGUUCACAGGGUUACAUGGAGAAGAGAAGAGGGAGGAGGGAGUUAGAGGUGACCCAAAUGAGAUGAGGUGAAUCAAUAGUGGAGAGAGUGGGCUAGCCAGUAGUCACUUCCUUAUGUGCACUCCACAACUGGACCACUCAGAGAUGUUCACGGGGUUAUACAGAGAAGAGAAGGAGGAAGGUAACUGAGGUGGCCAGAAGGAUAAAAGGGGGGAAUGAAAAGGAGGGAGACAGAUCCAGCCAGUAAUCAGUUCCCUAAGUGUUCUCCACCGUCUGGAACACACAGAAAUUCACAGAGUUGGGUAGAGUAGAGAGGGGUUAGGGAGGAGACACAGGCGCCUGGUGGAGAAAAAGGAGGGUCCAAAGGGAGAGAGAGCAGUCAAGCCAGUAAUCUCACUCCCUAGUGAAAAAUGGGUCCUGAAGAUUGGGUCCUUAAAGGUACAAAAUUGGUAACAAAUACAUAAAAGCAAAAAUUAAAAAUCUAGAGUAGAGUUUGGAAUUUCAAAAAUACGACGUUAAAGAAAAGAAGAAGGAAAAGAAAGAGAGAAAGAACGAACAAACAAAAACAAACAAGGUCGCGAAAAUUAUAAAGAAAGUACAGGUACAAAAUUGAUAACUAAUACCAGAAAGCAAAAAUUAAAAAUCUAGAGUAGAGUUUGGAAUUUCAAAAAUACAAUGUUUAAAAAAAAAAAAAAAAGAAGAAGAAGAAGAAAAAUAAAGAGAGAAAACAAACAAACAAAUACGAACAAUGUCACAAAAAUUAUAAAGAAAAUACAGGUACAAAAUUGAUAUCAAAUACCAAAAAGCAUAAAUUAAAAAUCUAGAGUAAAGUUUGGAAUUUCAGAUAUACAAUGUUAUAUAAAAGAAGAAGAGAAAGAAACAGAGAAGAAGAAAAGAAAAAAAAAAAAAAAAAAAAAAAAAAAAAAAAAAAAAAGGUCACAGAAAUUAUAUAAAAAAAAACUAUAGGUACAAAAUUGAUAACAUAUACCAAAAAGCGAAAAUUAAAAAUCUAGAGUAGAGUUUGGAAUUUCAAAAAUACAAUGUUAAAGAAAAGAAGAAAAAAACAAAGACCAAAAAAAAAAAAAAACCAAGGUCAAAAAAUUAUAAAAUAUAUAUAUAUGAAGUUUGCUGAAGAAGAAAAAAAUAGGGUCUUUUUUUUUUUUUUGCAAAGUAAUAGGUUAUAAAAGUGAAAAUUAAAGGAACAAUAGAGGACUUAAAUUUUUUUUUUUUUAAUUAAAAAAAAAAAAGAAUGAUCGUAAAAAUAAUAAAAAUAUUUCUAGGACUUUUUUGUUUUUUUUUGUGUGGGUGUUGUGGGUUCAGUUCAUUUUUGGCUAGUUCCUUGGUCAGAUUUAUAUUUCUCAAGAUCUAUAGGCCCCUUCCUAUGUAGUCCGUAGUAACCACAGGGUUUUGAUCUAUUGCCUGUAGCUUCCAAGGCGUUUCCCUCUGUUAUAUCUUCUUCUGUUUGCUAGUCUCUUCAGUAUCUGGUUUCCGCCCUGACUCAAAGGGCACGGUGGAGGACACUUUUUUUUUUUUUUUUUUUAGGCUUACUUGUUCAGUCGCGCUCUGGGGAGGAAGGGAGGGAUGCUGCAAACAAAUAACACUGGCGUGGGCUCGCAGUGCCUCAGCCACCCUGGGUCUGCCCCCGCUCACGGCGCGUGUAGCCUCCCUGUCCACACUGCUCGGACUCUAGGUUGUUCCACCGGGAACAAUCCGAGGCUGGCCCUGGGCUGCAUGCACCUCCCAGGUCCAAGCCGCUCAGGUUCAGGCACUCGGGUAGUCCUCAGAGGCACAGACUCAGUUGGGCCUGCGUUUUGUGCUCUUCCCAGGUCCGAGCGCCAAUUUGCUCUUCCCAGGCGAGCGCCAAUGCUGCGACUUAUCGCCUCCCCGCCACUCGGUUAUCUGGAUGUAAAACCGGCGCACCUUCUCAGGCAGAUGUUGACCGUCCAGACC
ensembl:lncRNA